CCUACGGGGGGCUGCAGUGGGGAAUAUUGGACAAUGGGGGGAACCCUGAUCCAGCAAUGCCGCGUGUGUGAAGAAGGCCUGAGGGUUGUAAAGCACUUUCAGUGGGGAGGAGGACGUGUAGGUUAAGAGCUAGCAUGUUGGACGUUACCCACAGAAGAAGCACCGGCUAACUCCGUGCCAGCAGCCGCGGUAAUACGGAGGGUGCAAGCGUUAAUCGGAAUUACUGGGCGUAAAGGGUGCGUAGGUUGUUUAUUAAGUUAGCUGUGAAAGACCUG
rnacentral:rRNA from 1 species